GCGCCGGUAACACAGUGGUAGAGCUCCUUAUGUGGUGAGCGAAAGCACCUUACAAUAACUAUACGGAGGUCGAAGGUUCGAAUCCUGCCCGUGGCU